CGCGGAGCAUGUGGAUUAAUUCGAUGCAACGCGAGAACUUACCUAGGCUUUGACAUAUACAGGACGACGGCAGAGAUGUCGUUUCCCUUGUGGCUUGUAUACAGGUGGUGCAUGGUUGUCGUCAGCUCGUGUCGUGAGAUGUUGGGUUAAGUCCCGCAACGAGCGCAACCCCUGUCUCAUGUUGCCAGCACGUAAUGGUGGGGACUCGUGAGAGACUGCCGGGGUCAACUCGGAGGAAGGUGGGGAUGACGUCAAAUCAUCAUGCCCCUUAUGUCUAGGGCUUCACACAUGCUACAAUGGCUAGUACAGAGGGCUGCGAUACCGCGAGGUGGAGCGAAUCCCUUAAAGCUGGUCUCAGUUCGGAUUGGGGUCUGCAACUCGACCCCAUGAAGUCGGAGUCGCUAGUAAUCGCAGAUCAGCAACGCUGCGGUGAAUACGUUCCCGGGCCUU
rnacentral:rRNA from 1 species